rnacentral:lncRNA from 1 species
CUCUGCUUUUCUGAUGCAAGAAGCUGCAAGAUUCCAUCUCUGCCAUAAUGUCAUCCUGUUGGCUGGCUACAUCCACAAAGUUCAACAAACCAGUUCAACCUGAAGAAAGAGAGAGGGAGAGGGAAGAUUUUGACUCUAAGAUGAAACCCGAAUCUUCCAGGAAAUGGAGGCUAAGCAGAGAAUGAAAGAGGCAAAACAUGUUAGAGUUCUUUUGGAGCGUGCAUACCAGUUUGGAGAGACAAACAAAACACAGG